rnacentral:rRNA from 1 species
GAAUCUUAGACAAUGGGGGAAACCCUGAUCUAGCCAUGCCGCGUGAUCGAUGAAGGCCUUAGGGUUGUAAAGAUCUUUCAGAUGGGAAGAUAAUGACGGUACCAUCAGAAGACGCCCCGGCUAACUCCGUGCCAGCAGCCGCGGUAAUACGGAGGGGGCUAGCGUUAUUCGGAAUUACUGGGCGUAAAGCGCACGUAGGCGGAUCGGAAAGUCAGAGGUGAAAUCCCGGGGCUCAACCCCGGAACGGCCUUUGAAACUCCCGGUCUUGAGGUCGAGAGAGGUGAGUGGAAUUCCGAGUGUAGAGGUGAAAUUCGUAGAUAUUCGGAGGAACACCAGUGGCGAAGGCGGCUCACUGGCUCGAUACUGACGCUGAGGUGCGAAAGCGUGGGGAGCAAACAGG